rnacentral:lncRNA from 1 species
AUGUGCCUUGUGAUGGUGAAUACAGGGAGUGUCAUUAGUGUUUAAUUGCCUUUCUUUAGAUAAUGAAGUGUUUAGUUACCAAGGACUUUGAAGCCUUCUUGGAAACAUCAAUUAAGAGCAUGGUUUUUAAAGCGGUAAGGCGGUCCAAGGCGUUGGACCACCGCCUGGACGCCUAGGCGAGGUAGGCGGGCAAGGCGCCUAGGCGUUAGACCACCGCCUGGACGCCUAGGCGACGCCUUAAGAACAGAGAUUAAGAGCACAGCUCCCCCUCUAUCUUCUUGUGAAGAGUGUACCUGGUCUCCUAAAUCUCUUCCGCAUUAUCCAAUUUCAUCUAUUUAUAUGCUUAUCAACACUUAGUUUUUUAACUUAGUCUUGUGACCUAUUAUUGCUACUAGCUAGUUCACUAUUAGCAAAACAGAGCUAAAAUGGACUAAUAACUACUAGCCCGUUUAUACAAAGUACAAACAGUGCUGGACUAAAAUUUAGUCACCUGCAGUUAUUUCCUACCAACCACUAAACUGACAAAUAGUCCCAUACGAUUCAAAAUAUGCUCUUUAAUUAGGGCACUUUGGGUAGCAAAUUGCUCACGAAAUUAAGUUCUUUUGCCAAUUUUCAUAAUUUCUAUCGUCUUGGUUUGUUCCUGAACUUCUCAUAAUGCUGCUAUUGUUUGUUGUUUUGUUUAUCUGUAUAUUUAAGUAGCAAUCUAGGUUUCCACCACGUCAUCUAUAACUCAGUUGAAAUAUAUACCAUUGAUGGUUAAUGUUCGUGCAACUAGUGAAACGGUAAUGUCAUUAGUGUUUAGGGAUUGUUUCAAUUUGGCCUUACACAUACUUAGUUUUUUAAAACAGAGAAGUCCUGAAAGGAUUAUCGAAUGGCCAGGACCGAUGCCUGAAUGACACUCUUUUGUGUGAAGAUUAUUUGCUUGUUUCAAGACGUUUUGGCAUGUAAAUGAAAGGCGUAUCAACAAUCCUUUUAUCUGUUUUAAGUCGGAUUGCAUGUAGUAACAUCAUAAAAUAAAAUUAAUAUCUUUUAGCGUCUUAGUUGGGUGGUUAUAUAUAGGAAUAUGACAAUGGGCCUCUUAUUUUUCCUGAACAACCCUGAGCUCCUGAGUCCUGACAUAGGGUAAACCUAGCUUACUGUUUCAUGUCUCCUUUAAGGCAACUUAUACCCAUCUUAUCUUGUUAGUUAAUUAAUUACAAGGCUUCUGCAGGUGAUUGGUAGUAAUCAGCUCAUGCAAUGCAUAGUAACUCCUGUUUGUUGCUUACAGAUCUGGGGGGCACCUGACCGAAGAAGAGCUGGAUGUGUAGAUCACAGAGUACGGCUGGAUGUGCAAAUGCCAUGGCUGUUUGGAUUUCUUCUGACAGCUCGACAAAACCUUACAUCAUGCAAAGAGUCAGGAAAACAAAAAAACCAGGAAAACAAAAAAAUAAAAAAUCAGGAAAACAACAAAAAAAAAUAAAAAACCAGGAAAACAAAAAAAUUAAAACCCCAGGAAAACAAAAAAAUAAAAAACCAGGAAAACAAAAAAAAUAAAAAACUAGAAAUACAAAAAAAAUAAAAAACAAGGAAAACAAAAAAAAAUAAAAAAUUCAAGAAAACAACAAAAAAAUAAAAACCAGGAAAACAAAAAAAAUAAAAAAACAGGAAAACAAAAAAAAACAGGAAACAAAAAAAACUAGAAAUACAAAAAAGCCAGGAAAACAAAAAAAAUAGAAAAUUUCAAGAAAACAACAAAAAAUUAAAAACCAGGAAAACAAAAAAAUUCAAAACCCAGGAAAACAAAAAAAUAAAAAAACAGGAAAACAAAAAAAAUUCAAAACCCAGGAAAACAAAAAAAUAAAAAAACAGGAAAACAAAAAAAUAAAAAAACAGGAAAUACAAAAAAAUAAAAAAACCAGGAAAACAAAAAAACAAGAAAACAACAAAAAAUUAAAAAACAGGAAAACAAAAAAAAUAAAAACCCAGGAAAACAAAAAAAAUAAAAACUCAGGAAAACAAAAAAACUAGGAAUGCAAAAAAGUAAAAAACCAGGAAAACAAAAAAAAAGGUAAAAACCCCAAACCUGAAGGAACAAUAUUGCCCUGUAACCACCCACGCGAAGAUGUAAGAGAUGCAUUCAUAUGCUUGACUGCAAAUUCGCUUGCGCAGUUUCCUGCUGGCAGUGUUGUUGGAAGUGCUUCCUUAUGGAGACAAUCUCAGAUUCUCUACAGAUAUCCAUCACUGAAAGUAAGUAUAAUGGUUUUGCUCAUCAGUCAUCACACUUUCCCUCCCCACCACAUAUACUUGUGAUUUUAGUGCUACCAGAAUUACUGAUGUGUUCAUAGAUACUUCACAGUAUUGCGAGUCCAGUGUGAUCAGUCAUCACACUUUCCAUCCUCACCACCUAUACAAAUUGCUAAUUGCCUAUUUUUUUAAAAAAAGUUUCUUCUCUUUUUCAAUGAUAAAAAUACUUCCUGACUUCUAAAUGUGCCAUGUAAUGGUGAAUACAGGGAGUGCCAUUAGUGUUUAAUUUCCUUUCUUUAGAUAAUGAAGUGUUUAGUUACCAAGCACUUUGAAGCCUUCUUGGAAACAUCAAUUAAAGUAGUGUUUGGUUGAGGAGCCAAGUAGAAUGGAGCCGUUCCAUCCCUGAUUCUAGGAACGGAGCCGCUCUGUUCUGUGUUUGGUAAUCUGGAACGGAGCGGCUCUGUUUUUUUUUUGGUUGCAGAGUGAACGGAACGGAGCGGCUCCGUUCGAUUCAUUUUUUGGAGCGGAAUGGUUCCGGAUCUGAGGAGAAUAUUCCCUAAUUGGAGCCAUCCUGUUCUAAUUACUUUGUAACCAAACAACAACAAAACUGUGACGAAACGGUUCCGUUCUACUUGGCUCUUCAACCAAACACUACCUAAGAGCACAGCACCCCCUCUAUCUUCUUGUGAAGAGUGUACCUGGUCUCCUAAAUCUCUUCCGCAUUAUCCAAUUUCAUCUAUUUAUAUGCUUAUCAACACUUAGUUUUUUUAUUUAGUCUUGUGACCUAUUAUUGCUACUAGCUAGAGCAAUGAUCGAUUAACCUACUGGUUGGGUCAAGUUUGCACAAUUUUUUUUCUCAAAAAAAAAACUAGGUGCGGUUGCUACUUCAUGUUUAGGGGUUGUUUGAUCCCAGGACUGAAAUCCACUCCUAGGCCAUCGAAACAGGUAGACAAACGAGUAAACUAAUUUUAGCCCACACCCCAAUUAAUAGCUAGUUCACUAAUAGCAAAAUAGAGCUAAAAAUGGACUAAUAACUACUAGCCCGUUUAUACAAACAGCGCUGGACUAAAAUUUAGUCACCUGCAGUUAUUUCCUACCAACCACUAAACUGACAACUAGUCCCAUACGAUCCAAAAUAUGCUCUUUAAUUAGGGCACUUUGGGUAGCAAAUUGCUCACGAAAUUAAGUUCUUCUGCCAAUUUUCACACUUUCCAUCCUCACCACCUAUACAAAUUGCUAAUUGCCUAUUUUUCUAAAAGAUUUUCUUCUCUUUUUCAAUGAUGAAAUACUUCCUGACUUCUAAAUGUGCCAUGUGAUGGUGAAUACAGGGAGUGCCAUUAGUGUUUAAUUGCCUUUCUUUAGAUAAUGAAGUGUUUAGUUACCAAGCACUUUGAAUUGUCUUAGUUGGGUGGUUAUAUAUAGAAAUCUGACAAUGGGCCUCUUAUUUUUCCUGAACAACCCUGAUCUCCCUAGUCCUGACAUAGGGUAAACCUAGCUUACUGUUUCAUGUCUCAUUUAAGGCAACUUAUACCCAUCUUAUCUUGUUAGUUAAUUAAUUAUAUGGCUUCCUGCAGGUGAUUAGUAGUAAUCAGCUCAUGCAAUGCAUAGUAACUCCUGUUUGUUGAUUACAGAUCUGGUGGAUACCUGACCGAAGAAGAGCUGGAUGUGUAGAUCACAGAGUACGGCUGGAUGUGCAAAUGUCAUGGCUGUUUGGAUUUCUUCUGACAGUUUGACAAAACUGCACAUCAUGCAAAGAGUCAGGAAAACAAAAAAAAUAAAAAAACCAGGAAAACAAAAAAACAGGGAAAAACCCAGGAAACCUGAAGGCACAAUAUUGACAUGUAACCACCCACGAGAAGAUGUAAGAGAUGCAUUCAGAUGCUUGACUGCAAAUUCGCUAGCGGAGCUUCCUGCUGGCAGUGGUGUUGGAAGUGCUUCCUUGCGGAGACAAUCUCAGAUUCUCUACAGAUAUCCAUCACUGAAAGUAAGUAUGAUGGUUUUGCUCACCAGUCAUCACACUUUCCCUCACCACCACCUAUACUUGUGAUUUUAGUGCUACCAGAAUUACUGAUGUGUUCAUAGAUACUUCACAGUAUUGCAAGUCCGGUGUGAUCAGUCAUCAAACUUUCCCUCCCCACCACCUAUACAAAUUGCUAAUUUCCUAUUUUUUAAAAAGAUUUUCUUGUCUUUUUCAAUGAUGAAAUACUUCCUGACUUCUAAAUGUGCCUUGUGAUGGUGAGUACAGGGAGUGCCAUAGUGUUUAAUUGCCUUUCUCUAGAUAAUAAGUUUUUAGUUACCAAGGACUUUGAAGCCUUCUUGGAAACAUCAAUUAAGUGCACAGCACCCCCUCUAUCCUCUUGUAAAGAGUGUACCUGGUCUCCUAAAUCUCUUCCGCGUUAUCCAAUUUCAUCUAUUUAUAUGCUUAUCAACACUUAGUUUUUUUCCUUAGUCUCGUGACCUAUUAUUGCUACUAGCUAGAGCAAUGAUCAAUUAACCUACUGGUUGGGUCAAGUUGGCACACUCUUUUUCCUCAAACAAAAAAAAGGUGCCGUUGCUACUUCAUGUCUAGGGGUUGUUUGAUCCCAGGACUGAAAUUCACUCCUAGGCCAUCGAAACAGGUAGGGUAACGAGUAAACUAAUUCUUAGCCCACACCCCAAUUAAUAGCUAGUUCACUAAUGGCAAAAUAGAGCUAAAAAUGGACUAAUAAGUAAUAACUACUAGCCUGUUUAUCCAAACAGCUCUGGACUAAAAUUUAGUCACCUGCAGUUAUUUCCUACCAACCACUAAACUGACAACUAGUCCUAUACGAUAAAAAAUAUGCUCUUUGAUUAGGGCAUUUUAGAUAGCGAAUUGCUCACCAAAUUAAGUUCUUUUGCCAAUUUUCAUAAUAUCUAUCGUCUUGGUUUGUUCCUGAACUUCUCAUAAUGCUGCUACUGUUUAUUGUUUUGUGUAUCUGUAUAUUUGAGUGGCAAUCUAGGUUUCAACCAUGUCAUCUAUAACUCAGUUGAAAUAUAUGCCAUUGAUGGUUAAUGAUCGUGCAACUAGUGAAACGGUAAUGUCAUUAGUGUUUAGGGAUUGUUUUAAUUUGGCCUUACACAUACUUAAUAUUUUAGAACAGAGAAGUCCUGAAAGGAUUAUCGAAUGGCCAGGACUGAUGCCUGAAUGACACUCUUUUGUGUGAAGAUUAUUUGCUUGUUUGAAGACGUUUUGGCAUGUAAAUGAAAGGCGUAUAUCAAUCCUUGUAUCUGUUUUAAGUCGGAUUGCAUGUAGUAACAUCAUAAAAUAAAAUUAGUAUCUUUUAGCGUCUUAGUUGGGUGGUUAUAUAUAAAAAUCUGACAAUGGGUCUCUUAUUUUUCCUGAACAACCUAAAGCUCCCGAGUCCUGACAUAGGGUAAACCUAGCUUACUGUUUCAUGUCUCCUUUAAGGCAACUUAUACCCAUCUUAUCUUGUUA